UACGUAGGCAGCAAGCGUUGUUCGGAGUUACUGGGCGUAAAGAGCGUGUAGGCGGCCCGUCAAGUCUGGUGUGAAAUCCCCCGGCUCAACCGGGGGGGUGCGCCGGGGACUGGCGGGCUUGGAGCGCGGGAGAGGGAGGCGGAAUUCCGGGUGUAGCGGUGAAAUGCGUAGAGAUCAGGAGGAACACCAGCGGUGUAGACGGCUUUCUGGACCAUGGCUGACGCUGAGACACGAAAGCGUGGGGAGCAAACAGG
rnacentral:rRNA from 1 species